rnacentral:rRNA from 1 species
CUGGCGGCGUGCCUAAUACAUGCAAGUCGAACGGUCUUUCUAUGGAAGCUUGCUUCCACUGAGAAGAUAGUGGCGAACGGGUGAGUAACACGUGGGUAACCUGCCCAUAAGAGGGGGGAUAACAUCCGGAAACGGGUGCUAAUACCGCAUAGUUUUCUUGAUCGCAUGAUCGGGAAAGGAAAGACGGCCUUUGUGCUGUCGCUUAUGGAUGGACCCGCGGCGUAUUAGUUAGUUGGUGAGGUAACGGCUCACCAAGACGAUGAUACGUAGCCGACCUGAGAGGGUGAUCGGCCACAUUGGGACUGAGACACGGCCCAAACUCCUACGGGAGGCAGCAGUAGGGAAUCUUCCGCAAUGGACGAAAGUCUGACGGAGCAACGCCGCGUGAGUGAAGAAAAGGUUUUCGGAUCGUAAAACUCUGUUGUCAGAGAAGAACAAGUUGGAGAGUAACUGCUCCAGCCUUGACGGUAUCUGACCAGAAAGCCACGGCUAACUACGUGCCAGCCGCAGC